GAUGAACGCUAGCGGCAGGCUUAAUACAUGCAAGUCAAGGGGGUAGCAAUACAACCGGCGCACGGGUGAGUAACACGUACACAACAUACCAUAUACUGAGGUAUAGCUUCGGGAAACUGAAGGUAAUCCCUCAUAGUAUUGUGAAAGGGCAUCUUUUCACAAUUAAAGUUUCGACGGUAUAUGAUUGGUGUGCGUUUGAUUAGCUAGUUGGUAGGGUAACGGCCUACCAAGGCAACGAUCAAUAGCUGGCGUGAGAGCGCGACCAGCCACACUGGAACUGAGACACGGUCCAGACUCCUACGGGAGGCAGCAGUAGGGAAUAUUGGACAAUGGGCGAAAGCCUGAUCCAGCCAUGCCGCGUGAUAGAUGAAGGCCUUCGGGUCGUAAAACUCUGUCGGGAGGGACGAAGGGGCAACCCUGACGGUACCUCGCAAGAAAGCACCGGCUAACUCUGUGCCAGCAGCCGCGGUAAU
rnacentral:rRNA from 1 species